AAAUUAGUGAAAUCCUGGAGAUUGCUUAUACUAGGAUCCGGUACCGUUUGGUUCGGGUAUAAGCAAGAACUAGCUAUUAUAGAAAUAAGUAUAAGUAUGGGGAUAAGAAAAAUAGUAUUUGGAUGAAAAUUGGAUUGUUACUGGGAUAAGAACAAUUUUAGAUAGUUUUAUAUAGAAAAUAAAAGUGUUGGUGGGGACAACCGAGAACUAUUAUUCUCGGAUAAAAAAUUAGCGUUUGAAUAUAAAAGGAGGGAUAAGGAUCUAUUUCUAUUCCUAUUCUCUAACCAAAUGCUGCUGAGUCGGGAGUGACAAUCGUUGUUUAAUUGC
rnacentral:lncRNA from 1 species